UACGUAGGGUGCGAGCGUUACUCGGAAUUACUGGGCGUAAAGCGUGCGCAGGCGGUUAUGUAAGUCAGGGGUGAAAUCCCCGGGCUUAACCUGGGAACUGCAUUUGUGACUGCAUAGCUAGAGUACGGUAGAGGGGGAUGGAAUUCCGCGUGUAGCAGUGAAAUGCGUAGAUAUGCGGAGGAACACCGAUGGCGAAGGCAAUCCCCUGGACCUGUACUGACGCUCAUGCACGAAAGCGUGGGGAGCAAACAGG
rnacentral:rRNA from 1 species